rnacentral:ncRNA from 1 species
CCAAAGGCCCUUUUCAGGGCCACCCACUUUUUCUUAAAAAGUGCUG